UGGUGAAAAUCUAAUUCUACUUUUGCUCUUUUAAGGGGAUACAUACCUUUCUUGCACUUUGAAGCUUUUUGAGGAGAAUGAGAUGCUCUAUAUUUUCUUUUUCUUUCCUCUCAGGUGGGUAUCUUGUACCCCUAAUUCUACUAUCGGACACUUGUCUAUUUUUACCUCUCGUCUCACUUUUUCUUUUCUUCGGGGUUCCGGGCACUUGCCCCUUUUUCUUUCCUCGUAUCCUCUUCUU
rnacentral:lncRNA from 1 species